AAAGAUGGCUGGCAUGUGAAGCCACAUGCUCACGAAGGUGGGCUUCUUGUCAGGACCUUGUCUGUUCUCCAGUGUGUGACCCUGGGAUUUCCCCAAAUUUAACUCGACUGCAAAAUGUGUGGCCCAUGGGGGAUUGUAUUUGUGCUUUCCCUUU
rnacentral:snRNA from 1 species